CAAACACGAAACUGCCUCCUCCGAAUGCCUGCCACGUAGUCAGCCCUUACGGGCAGCUUCCCUUUUCUUACUCGCGAGGAGGCUUGGAGGGAAGGAGUCUUAAGGGGCCCGAAUACCAGGAAGAGGAGGUUUAAAGAGGUCAAGAAACUUGGCUGUGUCCACACACUGAAUUUGAACCCAGCAUCAUCUUGCUUGAUCCAACCAGGUCUUUUCUUCUUUCUAUUUCAUACCAGAAGGCCUGCCACAGAGGGUUCCUGCAAGGUCAAAGGGAGACAACCCAUGCGAAUGCGCUGUGCACACCAGGUCCUUAAAGAUGUUUUUUGAAUGACUGAACAAAUGGUCCCUUGCCAAAAGGAGCGAGAUUUCAAAUAUGCUGCCAGGGGGAGAGAGCCACCUUUUUCUUUUCCCAUCCAUUUCAGGAAAAUUUAGGUUUUUAGUUAUUCCUGUGAUCGGCCUAGAGUUGCUUGCUACCAGAUUGAAAUAGGAAGACAUCAUGGAAAAAAAAGAGAUUUGCUUAAAAGGAACUGAAGCUUGUUUGGCCUGAUCCUCUGGGAAGUUGGACAGGUAGAAUGUAACAGUUUAGUUUCAAACUACCCCUUUAAAAAUACUGCCCUACAGGGUGGAAUCUGGUCCU